rnacentral:rRNA from 1 species
GACGAACGCUGGCGGCGUGCUUAACACAUGCAAGUCGAACGGAAAGGCCUGCUUUCCCUUGUGGAUUGCGGGUACUCGGGUGGCGAACGGGUGAGUAACACGUGAGUGAUCUGCCCCCAACUUGGGUAUAAGCCUGGGAAACUGGGCCUAAUUCCCGAUAGGACUGCAGGGUGGUGCCUGUGGUGGAAAACGAUUUUCUAGUGGUUGGGGAUGAGCUCGCGGCCUAUCAGCUUGUUGGUGGGGGAAUGGCCUACCAAGGGGGCGACGGGUAGCCGGCCUGGGGGGGUGGGCCGCCACCUUGGGCCUGGUCUUCGGCCCCGACUCCCACCGGGGGCCACGGUGGGGGAUAUUGCCCCAUGGGCGGAGGCCUUAUGCCGCGGCCCCGCGGGGGGGAUGACGGCCUUCGGGUUUUAAACCCCUUUCGACCCCGAGGAAGCCCCCUGGUUGGAAGGGUGGUGACGGUAGUGGUAGAAGAAGCCCCCGCUACCUCCCU